rnacentral:rRNA from 1 species
AUACGGAGGGUGCAAGCGUUGUCCGGAUUUAUUGGGUUUAAAGGGUGCGUAGGUGGUUUUUUAAGUCAGUGGUGAAAGCCUACAGCUUAACUGUAGAGGUGCCAUUGAUACUGGGGAACUCGAGUAUGGACGAGGUAGGCGGAAUUUGUGGUGUAGCGGUGAAAUGCAUAGAUACCACAAGGAACACCGAUAGCGAAGGCAGCUUACUGGGCCAUAACUGACACUGAGGCACGAAAGCGUGGGGAGCGAACAGGAUUAGAAACCCUAGUAGUCC